CCUACGGGAGGCAGCAGUGAGGAAUAUUGGUCAAUGGACGAGAGUCUGAACCAGCCAAGUAGCGUGAAGGAUGACUGCCCUAUGGGUUGUAAACUUCUUUUAUAUGGGAAUAAAAUGUUCCACGUGUGGGAUUUUGUAUGUACCAUAUGAAUAAGGAUCGGCUAACUCCGUGCCAGCAGCCGCGGUAAUACGGAGGAUCCGAGCGUUAUCCGGAUUUAUUGGGGUUAAAGGGAGCGUAGGUGGAUUGUUAAGUCAGUUGUGAAAUUUUGCGGCUCAACCGUAAAAUUGCAUUUGAAACUGGCAGUCUUGAGUACAGUAGAGGUGGGCGGAAUUCGUGGUGUAGCGGUGAAAUGCUUAGAUAUCACGAAGAACUCCGAUUGCGAAGGCAGCUCACUGGACUGCAACUGACACUGAGGCUCGAAAGUGUGGGUAUCAAACAGGAUUAGAUACCCGAGUAGUC
rnacentral:rRNA from 1 species